AGCGAACGCUGGCGGCAUGCUUAACACAUGCAAGUCGCACGGGCAGCAAUGUCAGUGGCGGACGGGUGAGUAACGCGUAGGUAUCUAUCCUUGGGUGGGGGACAACGGCUGGAAACGGCUGCUAAUACCGCAUGAUAACUGAGGUUUAAAGGCGCAAGUCGCCUGGGGAGGAGCCUGCGUACGAUUAGCUAGUUGGUGGGGUAAAGGCCUACCAAGGCAACGAUCGUAGCUGGUCUGAGAGGAUGAUCAGCCACAUUGGGACUGAGACACGGCCCAAACUCCUACGGGAGGCAGCAGUGGGGAAUAUUGGACAAUGGGCGAAAGCCUGAUCCAGCAAUGCCGCGUGUGUGAAGAAGGUCUUCGGAUUGUAAAGCACUUUCGACAGGGACGAUGAUGACGGUACCUGUAGAAGAAGCCCCGGCUAACUUCGUGCCAGCAGCCGCGGUAAG
rnacentral:rRNA from 1 species